rnacentral:rRNA from 1 species
UACGAAGGGGGCUAGCGUUGCUCGGAAUCACUGGCGUAAAGCGCACGUAGGCGGAUUGCUAAGUCAGGGGUGAAAUCCUGGAGCUCAACUCCAGAACUGCCUUUGAUACUGAGGAUCUUGAGUUCGGGAGAGGUGAGUGGAACUGCGAGUGUAGAGGUGAAAUUCGUAGAUAUUCGCAAGAACACCAGUGGCGAAGGCGGCUCACUGGCCCGAU